AAAGUAUAUGGCCAAUGGCACUUUAAAUUAUGGAUAUGUGUGUAUGUAUAUAUAUAUGUGUGUGUGUGUGUGUGUGUGUAUAUACACACACACAUAUAAAACUAUGAUGACUUGAACUAUA
rnacentral:miRNA from 1 species